rnacentral:rRNA from 1 species
GAUGAACGCUGGCGGCGUGCCUAAUACAUGCAAGUCGAGCGGUAAGGCCACUUCGGUGGUACACGAGCGGCGGACGGCUGAGUAGCACGUAGGAACGUACCCCAAAGUGAGGGAUAAGCGCCGGAAACGGCGUCUAAUACCGCAUGUGGUCUUCGGACUAAAGCUCCGGCGCUUUGGGAACGGCCUGCGCAUGAUUAGCUUGUUGGUAAGGUAAUGGCUUACCAAGGCGACGAUCAUUAGCUGGUCUGAGAGGAUGAUCAGCCAGACUGGGACUGAGACACGGCCCAGACUCCUACGGGAGGCAGCAGUAGGGAAUCUUCCACAAUGGGCGAAAGCCUGAUGGAGCAACGCCGCGUGCAGGAUGAAUGCCUUCGGGUUGUAAACUGCUUUUAUCUGUGACGAUUAUGACGGUAGCAGAUGAAUAAGGAUCGGCUAACUCCGUGCCAGCCGCCGCAGUAA